GGCGGAUGUACCCAAGGGGAUCAGGGC
rnacentral:tRNA from 1 species